GACACAGGUGCUGCAUGGCUGUCGUCAGCUCGUGUCGUGAGAUGUUGGGUUAAGUCCCGCAACGAGCGCAACCCUUGUCAUUAGUUGCCAUCAUUUGGUUGGGCACUCUAAUGAGACUGCCGGUGACAAACCGGAGGAAGGUGGGGAUGACGUCAAGUCCUCAUGGCCCUUAUGGGUAGGGCUUCACACGUCAUACAAUGGUCGGUACAGAGGGUUGCCAACCCGCGAGGGGGAGCUAAUCCCACAAAGCCGAUCGUAGUCCGGAUCGCAGUCUGCAACUCGACUGCGUGAAGUCGGAAUCGCUAGUAAUCGUGGAUCAGCAUGUCACGGUGAAUACGUUCCCGGGUCUU
rnacentral:rRNA from 1 species